rnacentral:lncRNA from 1 species
CUCUUCUCCAGGGUGAUGCUGUUUGCAACACACAGUUCCUUGUCUUGGUUUCCUAAGCAUCUUACUUCUGAAGGUUUUUCCAGGCCUUUGCUCACCCUGAAGGAGUCUCUGUUGCAAAAAAUUGAGGUGAAAUUCACAUAAUAUAAAAUGAGCCAAUUUAAAACACACAUUUCAGAGGCAUUUAGUAUCUUCACAAGGUUGUGACAAACAUCACCUGUAGUUCUAAAAUAUUUUCUUCACAUCAAAGGAGACCAAACCCCGUACCCAUCAAGCAGUCACUCGCUGUUCCCUCCUCCCCCAGCCCCUGGUACCCACCAAUCUGCUUUGUGUUUCUAUGAAUUUACCUAUCUUGGACGUUCCAUAUAAUUGGAACCAUACCACAACAUAUGACCUUCAAUUUCUGCCUUCUUUCACUUGUCAUAAUGUUUUCUGGAUUCAUCUACAUUGUCAAUGAAGUAUCAAUACCUCAUUUCUUUUUAAAAAUUGUGGUAAAAUAUACAUAACAAAAAUUUAUCAUUUUAACCAUUGCCUUUUUUCUUUUCUUUGAGACACAGUCUCCCUCUAUUGCCCAGGCUGCAGUUCAGGGGCACAAUCUUGGCUCACUGCAACCUCUGCCUCCCGGGCUCAAGCGAUUCUCAUGCCUCAGCCUCCCGAGUAGCUGGGAUUUCAGGCAUGCACCACCAUGCCCGGCUAAUUUUUGUAUUUUUAGUAGAGAUGGGGUUUUACCAUGUUGGCCAGGCUGGUCUCGAACUUCUGACCUCAGGUGAUCCACCCACCUGGGCCUCCCAAAGUGUUCCACCCACCUGGGCCUCCCAAAGUGCUGGGAUUACAGGCGUGAGCCACCGCACCUGGCCCAUUUUAAUCAUUUCCAAGUGUACACGGUUCUGUAAUAUUUAAGUACAUUCUCAUUUUGGGACAACCGUCACCACUGUCCAUCUCCAGAACUUUUUCACCUUCCCAAACUGAAACUCCAAGUCCAUUAUAGACUUUCCACUCCCUGUCCCCCAAAUCCCUGAUAACCACCAUUCUACUUUCUGUCUGCCCGGUUGUGAGUAUUCUAGGUACCUCCUAUAAGUCGAAUCAUACAGUAUUUUUCCUUUUAUGACUGAGUUAUUUAACUUACUAUAAUGUUUUCAAGGUUCAUCCAUGUGCCAAAAUUUCCUUCUUUUUAAAGUGAGCUGAGAUCACGCCACUGCACUCAAGCCUAGGCGACAGAGUGAGACUCCAUCUCAAAAAAAAAAUUAUAGUUAUCCUUGUAGGUAUGAUGUGGUACCUCACUGUGGUCUUGAUUUGCAUUUCCCUAAUAAGUAAGGAUGCUAAAUAUCUUUUCAUGUGCUUGUUGACUAUUUGUAUAUCUUUAGAGAAAUGUCUAAGUCCUUUACCCAUAUUUUAAUCUUUUUGUUGUUUAGUUGUAACAUUUCUUCCAGAUAUUGGACCUAGGAGCUCCCUUUAAAGAUCUUGGACCAUAGGUACCAUAUUGGUUCAUUUUCUGUUACUUAUGUCAGAAUACCUGAAACCAGGUAAUUUAUAAAUAAAAUGAAUGUAUUUCUUCCAGUUAUGGAGGCUAAGAAAUCCAAGGUUAAGGGACUGCCUCUGGUAUUCCUGUCUCUUCUCCUUUUUCCACUAAAGGCCUGGUUGCCUUGACUGCUUCCAAGAGACUGGCAGGGAAAAGCAGUCUAACCAUCCACAAAUGUUAGCUAGAUGGUAAGCCUCCAACUCUCAAUAAUGAACCUGCCUACUGAGGGAAACACAGCCAACUCCAAAUAUAAUGGGAUUUUCUUGUGUUGUUUGUUUGUUUGAGACAGGGUCUUCCUCUGUCUCCCAGGCUGGGGUGCAGUGGCACCGUCUUGGUUCACUGUAGCCUCAACCUCCCGGGCUGACGUGAUCCUCCUACCUUAGCCUCCUGAGUAGCUGGGACUAUAGGUGUGUGCCACCACAUCCCGCUAAUUUUUUAUUUUUAGUAGAGAUGAGGUUUUGCCACGUUGCCCAGGCUGGUCUCAAACUCCUGGGCUUAAGGAAUCCUCCGACCUUGACCUCCCAAAGUGCUGGGAUUACAGGUGUGAGCCAUUGUACCAGGCCAAAAUUAGUUUAGACCAGAUCAGAUUGUCCUAUUUAAUAGCCUUUACUCUGAGAUAUUGGUUAAGCUCACAGAGCUGGGUCCCAGGCAAACUAACUGAGUCUAAGCCCCAGGGUGGUGGCACCUGCCCCAACCUCUGCAUUGCCCAACCCUCACAGAGGCAGGAAAUUCCUCCUUCCUGAUGCUGCAAUCAGUCCUAGUCAGUUUCAGAAUCGGGGGUCAUAUGCAGAUUACAAAAGGCCAUCUUCAAAGAAGCUGCUUAUAGAUUUCAUGAAGUUUCUUAGGAAGUAAAACUUUCUGACUUAUAGACAGCAAAUGGCUUCCAAGAAGAAUAGUACUGCUCACAUAAUAGUGCAGUAUGAGCUGGGUGCAAUGGCUCACGCCUGUAAUCCCAGCACCUUGGAAGGCCAAGGCGGGGGGAUCACCUGAGGUCAGGAGUUCGAGACCAGCCUGAUCAACAUGGAGAAACCCCAUCUCUACUAAAAAUACAAAAAAUUAGCCAGGCAUGGUGGUGCAUGCCUGUCAUCUCAGCUACUCGGGAGGCUGAGACAGGAGAAUCACUUGAACCUGGGAGGCAGAGAUUGCAGUGAGCUGAGAUCGCACCAUUGCACUCCAGUCUGGGCAACAAGAGCAAAACCCUGUCUCAAACAAAACAAAACAAAACAAACACUGCAGUAUAACCUGAAAUGGGGUAUACAAGCAUCUUUUCACCCAUGAUAGGCCACUCCUUACAAGAAAUCCCAUUAUUCAUUUUAAAAAAGAAAUGGCAGCCAGGUGUGGUGGCUCAUGCCUGUAAUCCCAGCACUUUGGGAGGCUGAGGCAGGCAGAUCAUGAGGUCAGGGGUCAUGAGAUCAGGAGUUCAAGACCAGCCUGGCCAACCUGGUGAAACCCCGUCUUUACUAAAAAUACAAAAAUUAGCUGGGCAUGGUGGUGUGCGCCUGUAAUCCCAGCUACUCAGGAGGCUGAGGCAGGAGAACUGCUUGAACCAGGGAGGCAGAGGUUGCAGUGAGCCAAGAUCAGGCCACAGCACUCCAGCCUGGGCAACAGAGCAAGACUCCGUCUCGGGGUGGAAAAAAAAAAGAAAUGGCUAUGUUAUAGUUUUGACAGUAAAUAAUUUGUAAGUCAUUACUCUCAUAUGGUGAAAACAUCUACUCUCCUAUAAUUGAAAAAAAACUUUUUUUUUUUUUUUUGAGACAGAGAC